rnacentral:lncRNA from 10 species
CCUGGCCAACAUGGUGAAACACUGUCUCUACAAAAAACUCAAAAAUUAGCUGGGCAUGAUGGCACAUGCUUGUAAUCCCAGCUACUUGGGAGGCUGAGUCAGGAAAAUCACUUGAACCAGGAGGUGGAGGUUGCAGUAAGCCGAGAUUGCACCACUGCACUUCAGCCUGGGCGACAGAGCGAGACUCUCCCUCAGGAAAAAAAAAACAAAAAACAAAAAAACCCCACAAAGUGUAUCCUUAAUCAAGCCUAGAAGGUAACAUCCACCCUUUCCUAUAUAGGACAUAUCCUUUGUGUACCAAUGACAAAGUCUCUCCAGCUGGAGAGUUCUUAACAGCUGUACUUUGACAAACCAGAAAGGUGCAUCACAAGUAACUUGUUACUGAUUAACAUUAAAUUUAUUUAUUUAAAACUAUGAAUAAUUUGUUUUCUAAAUUAAAACAGUUUUAAGUUUCCAGAAGAGAACUCUCUUUAUUGUAUUUGAGACAGGGUCUCACUCUGUUGCCUAGGCUAGAGUGCAGUAGUGCAAUCACAGCUCAGUGCAGCCUCAGCCUCCUGGGUUCGAGAGAUCUUGCCACCUUGGCCUCCAGAGUCGCUGGAACCACAGGUGCACACCAUUAUGCCGGCUAAUUUUUGUAUUUUUUGUAGCAAUGGGGUCUCACUAUAUUGCCUAGGCUGGUCUCAAACUCCUGGACUCGAGUGAUCAUGAUCCUUCCACCUUGGCCUCCCAAAGUGUUGGGAUUAUGGGCACGAGCCACCGCAUUUGGCUUGAAGAGUACUCUCAUUUAUACUUCUGAUAAGCUUUCUGAUGGAAAAGAAAGGCAUUUUUAGGCACGAAGCACGAAAUGGACAGCACCUUGGGUAUACUUUCAGGGACAUGAAAAAAUGUAAUUAUUACUUAUAUGCAUCAUAGAAGAAAAAAUAAGCUUUAUAAUAGUUGGUUUGGAAAACUAGAGCGAACACAGCAUUUCUUAUGGAUGAUGGGAGAAGAUGGAAUUAACACCAGGCUGAUAUUAGUUGACAACAAAUAUCAGAGUGCUUGCUCUGUGCUCUAGUUAAUUUGUCAGAUUUCACAGGGAUUUUUGGUACAAGAAAGCUUUGUGGAAUAUAUGCAUUCUAUGCGCCAGGCUUAGUGCAAGGUAUUAUUAGAGAAAAAAGACUUAAAAUAGAAGGUACUCUAUAGCUAUAUUAGAUCAGGUCAGCACUUGGGAAAGUUAGCUUAUAGACCCAGUUUUGCCAUUAAAUACAGAACUUCAUAAAGUUCUAUGGCUUCUCUGGGCCUCAGCUUCUUCAUCAAUAAAAUGGGCAGAGGUGAACCAGACGACCUCUAAGGUUCCUUUAGAUUCUAAAAUGAUGUAAUUUUUAAAACCUUUGAAAUGUUUAUUCAGGUCUUCUCUCCUUGAGGUGUUCUUGGGACCGGAGAUAUUCCAUUUGAAACCCUGAGACAACCAUACCUCAAGCUCAGAGUGCUUAAGAAUUUUCUGCCAGGUGCGGUGGCUCACACCAGUAAUCCCAGCAUUUGGGGAGGCCAAGGCGGGCGGAUCAUGAGGUCAGGAGAUCGAGACCAUCCUGGCUAACACGGUGAAACCCUGCCUCUACUAAAAAUACAAAAAAAUUAGCCAGUGCAGGCCGGGCGCGGUGGCUCACGCCUGUAAUCCCAGCAGUUUGGGAGGC